CUCAAACCUCUUGAAGCUGUUGAUACCUGUUGCUCUGUGUCACGCAAUAGGCCAUGUGACCAGUAAUGUCUCAUUUGCAGCAGUUGCUGUCUCGUUCACCCACACGAUCAAAGCGCUCGAGCCCUUCUUCAACGCUGCUGCUUCUCAAUUCAUUCUAGGACAGUCAAUUCCCUUUACCUUAUGGCUUUCACUUGCACCUGUGGUCAUUGGUGUGUCCGUGGCAUCAUUGACUGAGCUCUCAUUCAACUGGACUGGCUUCAUUAGUGCUAUGAUUUCCAA
rnacentral:misc_RNA from 1 species